rnacentral:rRNA from 1 species
AACGAACGCUGGCGGCAGGCCUCAAACAUGCAAGUCUAGGGGGUGCAGCAAUGCAUCACCGGCGGACGGGUGCGUAACGCGUGGGAAUAUACCUUUUGGUUCGGAACAACUGCGGGAAACUGCAGCUAAUACCGAAUGUGCCCUAACGGGGAAAGAUUUAUCGCCAAAGGAUUAGCCCGCGUAGGAUUAGCUAGUUGGUGAGGUAAUGGCUCACCAAGGCUCCGAUCCUUAGCUGUCUGAGAGGAAGAUCAGCCACACUGGGACUGAGACACGGCCCAGACUCCUACGGGAGGCAGCAGUUGGGAAUCUUGGACAAUGGGGGAAACCCUGAUCCAGCCAUGCCGCGUGAGUGAUGAAGGCC